GGGUGGUGAGAUAGUCCGCGCCGAUGGGAAACCAUCGGACAGUCCAAUAUCUGUUGGACCGUGAAUCCAUAGGUCCCAGGUUCGAGUCCUGGUGGGCCCACCA
rnacentral:tRNA from 1 species